rnacentral:ncRNA from 2 species
CGAAAUUGCACUACGAGUAAAGAUGCUCGUUACGCGCAGCAGGACGGAAAGACCCCGAGACCUUUACUAUAGUUUGGUAUUGGUGUUCGGUGCGGCUUGUGUAGGAUAGGUGGGAGACUGUGAACCCCGCACGCCAGUGUGGGGGGAGUCAUCGUUGAAAUACCACUCUGGCCGCUUCGGAUGUCUAACUUCGACCCGUGAUCCGGGUCAGGGACAGUGCCUGAUGGGUAGUUUAACUGGGGCGGUUGCCUCCUAAAGAGUAACGGAGGCGCCCAAAGGUUCCCUCAGCCUGGUUGGCAAUCAGGUGUCGAGUGUAAGUGCACAAGGGAGCUUGACUGUGAGAGAGACAUCUCGAGCAGGGACGAAAGUCGGGACUAGUGAUCCGGCGGCACCUCGUGGAAGGGCCGUCGCUCAACGGAUAAAAGGUACCUCGGGGAUAACAGGCUGAUCUUGCCCAAGAGUCCAUAUCGACGGCAUGGUUUGGCACCUCGAUGUCGGCUCGUCGCAUCCUGGGGCUGGAGUAGGUCCCAAGGGUUGGGCUGUUCGCCCAUUAAAGCGGUACGCGAGCUGGGUUUAGAACGUCGUGAGACAGUUCGGUCCCUAUCC